GAUCCUGGCUUAGGACGAACGCUGGCGGCGUGCUUAACACAUGCAAGUCGAGCGAUGAAGCUUCUUCGGAAGUGGAUAGCGGCGGACGGGUGAGUAACACGUGGGUAACCUGCCUCAUAGAGGGAAUAGCCUUCCGAAAGGAAGAUUAAUACCGCAUAAGAUUGUAAUAUCGCAUGAUAUAGCAAUUAAAGGAGUAAUCCGCUAUGAGAUGGACCCGCGUCGCAUUAGCUAGUUGGUGAGGUAACGGCUCACCAAGGCGACGAUGCGUAGCCGACCUGAGAGGGUGAUCGGCCACAUUGGGACUGAGACACGGCCCAGACUCCUACGGGAGGCAGCAGUGGGGAAUAUUGCACAAUGGGGGAAACCCUGAUGCAGCCAACGCCGCGUGAGUGAUGACGGUCUUCGGAUUGUAAAGCUCUGUCUUCAGGGACGAUAAUGACGGUACCUGAGGAGGAAGCCACGGCUAACUACGUGCCAGCAGCCGC
rnacentral:rRNA from 1 species